CAUAUAUGUGACUAAAUCCACCAAGCAGGCUAUUCUGCAAGACCACACAAACUGGAGCAAAGGUUCAAUCAGUUAGGUUUUCAGGACAAAACAUCAAGGCUCAACGGGCCAAAACAUCAAGGGAUACUUCACUAUCUAGACGUCAUCAAGGGAUACUUCUCUAUCAGGACAUGAGAAAUGGUGACAGGAUGUGAGAAAUGGUGAUUCUUUGUUCUUCCUCGACACGCGUCGCCAUCGGCAGCUGUUGGACCCUGCUCUUGAAACAUGUGUCCGCUGCAACCAUCAUCAUGGGAAAUUGGGAAUUGAUCGGACUAAAA